rnacentral:rRNA from 1 species
AUUGAACGCUGGCGGCAGGCCUAACACAUGCAAGUCGAAUGGUAACAGGAAACAGCUUGCUGUUUCGCUGACGAGUGGCGGACGGGUGAGUAAUGUCUGGGAAACUGCCUGAUGGAGGGGGAUAACUACUGGAAACGGUAGCUAAUACCGCAUAACGUCGCAAGACCAAAGAGGGGGACCUUCGGGCCUCUUGCCAUCAGAUGCGCCCAGAUGGGAUUAGCUAGUAGGUGGGGUAACGGCUCACCUAGGCGGCGAUCCCUAGCUGGUCUGAGAGGAUGACCAGCCACACUGGAACUGAGACACGGUCCAGACUCCUACGGGAGGCAGCAGUGGGGAAUAUUGCACAAUGGGCGCAAGCCUGAUGCAGCCAUGCCGCGUGUAUGAAGAAGGCCUUCGGGUUGUAAAGUACUUUCAGCGGGGAGGAAGGGAGUAAAGUUAAUACCUUUGCUCAUUGACGUUACCCGCAGAAGAAGCACCGGCUAACUCCGUG